rnacentral:rRNA from 1 species
UACGGAGGGUGCAAGCGUUGCUCGGAAUCACUGGGCGUAAAGCGACCGCAGGCGGCCUGACAAGUCGGAUGUGAAAGCCCUGGGCUCAACUCAGGAAUUGCAUUCGAAACUGGCAGGCUCGAGUACGGGAGAGGGGGGUGGAAUUCCUGGUGUAGGGGUGAAAUUCGUUGAUAUCAGGAGGAACACCGGCGGCGAAGGCGGAUCUCUGGGCCUUACCUGACGCUCAGGUGCGAAAGCUAGGGGAGCGAACAGG